rnacentral:rRNA from 1 species
AGCAGUAGCCGCGGUAAUACGUAGGUGGCGAGCGUUGUCCGGAAUCAUUGGGCGUAAAGGGAGCGCAGGCGGGCAUGUAAGUCUUUCUUAAAAGUUCGGGGCCCAACCCCGUGAUGGGAAAGAAACUACAUGUCUUGAGUACAGGAGAGGAAAGCGGAAUUCCCAGUGUAGCGGUGAAAUGCGUAGAUAUUGGGAGGAACACCAGUGGCGAAGGCGGCUUUCCGGACUGCAACUGACGCUGAGGCUCGAAAGCCAGGGGAGCGAACGGGAUUAGAGACCCCUGUAGUCCUGUCUCUUAUACAC